CCGUUCAGGGGUAAACCUGAGAAACCCAAAAGAUCGAAUGGGGAGAUUCAUCGUCAGCUCAUUUUGUAUAUGUAUGANGUUAUGAUGCGAGUUACUCUNUGUAGUAUUGCUUGCACGUACUUUUACAUUUAUUUGCAAGAUGUUGUCGGCGUGCACUUCUCCCCUAGUAGAACGUCGCGACCCGUUGGGUGUCGGUCUACGACCUGAGUGGUAGACUUUAAUAUUUUNCGAAUAUUAAAGACCCUUGGUGUUUUCUGACCGACUGCUCGGCGGUACUCGUACGGUAUUUAGCCGCAAUUUUUUUUGCGUCCAUGUCCAUCGCAAGCGAGGCUAACUUCUGAUAGUNACGGACUUAGUGCCGUCGUUGGGAUUGGCCAGCUGUUGGUUGUAUGGAAUUCUAGGACUGGCUAAAAUAAUUACC
rnacentral:rRNA from 1 species